GGGGUCGUUACGGAUUCGACAGGCAUUAUGAGGCAUAUUUUGCGACUCGUGUGGCGACGUAAACGCUCAGUUAAAUAUAACUGCAAAAAAUAACACUUCUUACGCUCUAGCUGCCUAAAAACCAGCAGGCGUGACCCGAUUUGGAUUGCUCGUGUUCAAUGACAGGUCUUAUUAUUAGCGAGAUACGAUUAAGCCUUGUCUAGCGGCUUGAUAAGAGAUUGAUAGACUCGCAGUUUCUAGACUUGAGUUAUGUGUCGAGGGGCUGUUAAAAUAAUAC
rnacentral:tmRNA from 1 species